ACUACCUGGCACUGCGAAUGCUCUAGAUUNAAGUUUGAUCAUGGCUCAGAGCGAACGUUANNCGGCGGGCCUAACACAUGCAAGUCGAACGAGAAUGUAGGCUUCGGUCUACUAGUAAAGUGGCAGACGGGUGCGUAACACGUGGGUAAUCUACCUUCCGGCGGGGGACAACAGUCCGAAAGUGAUUGCUAAUACCGCAUACGUACAGCGGGCUUGGCCCUUUAACCGGGCGGCCCUUUGGCGGAUUUAUUUUGGGGGGACUGGGGAGAGCUGGGGGCANAAACAGAGCACAAAAAAAACGGGGGCACAACAACUUUUUUNGGGCGGUGNGGGAGCCCCCAGCCCAUUUUUUUCCCCCGUUUUUUCCCCCCCCCCAGUUUUUCUUUUGGGGGCGGGGCGCACACANACCACAAACGCGCGGGAGCGCCCCACCGUUUUUUUUGGGGGGCGCGGUUUUUUUCCCCCCCGAAAAAGAAGCGCCAAACACCCCCCAGUGGGGGNCAGUGGGGGCCCAAA
rnacentral:rRNA from 1 species